rnacentral:lncRNA from 1 species
UGAUGAUGAUGUGAUAUAUAUAUGGAUCAUGAAAGAUCAAUAUAUACCAAUCUUCCUUAAUUACGAUGACUACUUGAUAUCCAUUACAUCAUUUAUUCAUAAAUAUAUAAAUAUAUGCACGGAUAGUCACUUAUUCUUUAUCUUACAAUAAAAGUGACAUAAAUAUCAUACACAUAAGAGAUCUUGAUAAAGCAACUCAGUGCACUAAAAUUCUCAUUAUACAUCGAGUAUAUGUGAAGUCUUCAAAUCGAUUAUUUCCUCAAAAUCCUGCAGGGCAGCCUUUCCCUGUUCCAACCAUAGCGCAAGUUUUACAAAUUUUAUGUGGUCCACAAUCCUCAUUAGUUGUACAACGAUGCCGACACUUUGACAUUGGGUGUAAAAUCAGCUCAAACACUUCAAAUUCAAGAGGUAGAUCUUGCACAACCAUCAUUUCGAUGUUUAAUGUAUGAACUGUAAGGAUAACAUCGGUGCACAAAGAAUUAUGAAAAAAAUCACAUAUACAACGUAAUCAUCAAUCAAACUAUUGGAAAAAAAUACAGUGAUAUAAUUAAACUAAUACAUACAAAAAAAAAAAAACCUAAAAUUUAGGACGAACUAAUUUUGUAGCCAAACAACAAAAUUUCUUUCAUCAGUUGUACUUAACAAAGGGAUAGUUAAUACAUGUUAGCUACGAGCAACAUAGUAGAAUAAUAUAUUAGUAACGAAAUACAAAGCUACUUAUUUUUAGUGAAGAAAGAUACACUAUUAUAUACUAGUGUUUGACUAAAUUAAGAGUGAUGAAGUAACUGACCAGCUAGUAGCACUCCUACAAAGAGAGCCAAAAAAGCUAGCUAGAUUAUGUGAUUGAAACAUCCUAGCCAUUUUAACACAAUUUGGAGUAGAUAUUUUUUUUUUAUAAUGAAAAGAACUAAUU